ensembl:lincRNA
CUGGUUCCCCGCCCUAAGGGCCGCGGGGCUCCCGGGGCGCCCGCGGUCAGCCAGCCCGAGGUGCGGAGGGGAGCGAGCACCCACAUCCCCGCCCCGGAUGGGUCGCAUUCCCCCUCCUCUGCUUCCCUGGGCCAGCUCGGAGCAGGGGUGGGCAGCGCUGGUGGGUACCGCGGCCACAGCUACAGGGCCGAGGCGGUGGCUGCCGCCGCCGCCGCGGGCGCUGUCGAGGAAUCGGCCCGGGCGCGCGGCCCUCGCCCGGGCGCGGGGCUGGGAAGCGGCGGGCGAGGGAAAGCGCCGCGGGACGUGCAGACGACGAAGGCCGAACCCUUACCUCGGCCUCGGCAGCAGCCGCCUCCGCACCAGGCAGGCUCCCCAGCGGACAAGGGGCGGGGGAGCCGGGAGGGGCCCGGGAGAGGAGGGGUGUGUCUGCCCCAGCUUCCCCUGUUGACGUUUAAUUUAGGAGAUGCCGGGGGAUGCGACGAGCGCGAGCGCGGCCGGAGCGACGGCGGGUGCUGGCCCUCUCUGCGCCAAGGGCAGGCAAGAGCCUCGGGGAUCACCGCCUUGACCUCCCGGGCUGCAGCUCCCCUACCCCCCCCCACACACACACUGAGGGCUGCGGGGCUUCCCUCCGCCUGCGAAAAAGCAGCUCACGGACCCCCUGAAAUCCAUGGCCCCUGUUUGAGAGCCCCUACCCUAGAAGGAGUGCCGGCAAUGUCUUCAUGAGGAAAACAUCCAUGAGAAAUUCAAAGUCAUGUGAUGGCAUGUAAGAUUGUAUUAAUGUUCAUUACUGCAUAAUUUGGGUUUUUUGGACAGUGGGGGGAAGUGUAGUAAAUCAUAUCCCAGUACAUCCUCACUCACAAUAAAUAGCAACGCAUCCAGUGACUGUGCCUUCCCAGUCAUCAACAUCUCUACUCUGUCCUGUCAAAUGGUUAAAAUACCUCACGGAAGUUGUCUUUCAAUACAGAAGCGAAUUUCAUUGCACAGCAUUCCAUCUUCUAAUUCUUGUCUAGAACAAGUUCAUUCCCUGACUCCCUGCUAAGAAAAAGUUUUGCUUUCCAAAAAACUUGACCAUCUUGAGGAUGCCCCUUGGAUGUGGUGCUCAUAAAAACGAAGGGAAAAACAGACCCAGGAGCAAGCUCCUACGGCCUAAUUCAAGGUAGAAUUUUUGCUAACUCCACACCUUGUCUUAUUUGGCUCAAAAGCCUAUUUAAGAGGAACUUCAUUUACAUAAUGGUCUGUUUAACCACAGGAGCUAUAAAGGUCACAACUCAAGCUCUUCUCUUUCCUGGAAGCCAGGCAACCUGAACCCAACUGAUUACCUGGGCUUUUUUUUUCCGGCUAAGUCCAGGACGUGAAGAAAUUCAUGAAGAGGGCAAAGAGAGUUUCUUCUCUGAGUUAACUAAAGGGAUUUUACCAAAGUAGAGAACAGAAUCUAGGGUGGGAUAUAAAGCAGUCAUUAUUCAUUCAUCCAACAAUCAUUUAGUGAGAGCUUAUUCUGUGCCAGAAACUAGACCAGACAUUGGGUGAGUAAACCCAAGCUCAAUCUGCCUGCACAGAGCUUGCUGCUGAGUGAGAAGCAAACAUUAAGUAAUCACAUACGUAAAUACAAAACAGCAAUCUAAGUAAGUCCUGGGGCAGCAAGAACGUAGAGCAUGCCUGUGGUUAGGGCAUUUGCCUUCAUGGGGAAGUAGGCAGGGGGUGCUGGAGUUUAGAUCUGAAAGACAGUCAGAGAAAGAGGGAGGCAGAGUGUUUCCAGCAAAGCAAAGGACAUGGGCAAAGGGGCUGAAGUUCAGAAAGAGAAGGGGAGGGGGAAAAUGCAGGACAACUCCAGAGGGGUGGCCAGGGCCAUGCAGAGAACUCAGGAUUUUGGUCUUCAUUCUGAGAUCAAUGGGUCUUUAGACAGUUAAAGGCCCAAUGACCCAUUAGUUCCACUCAAUUCAAAAGAAAUGAAAAUAUGUGCCCCCUAAACAACAUGAACGCAAAUGGGCUCAUAGUGGCCUUGAAAGAGUUCCAAAUGCAAACAAUCCAAAUAUCCAUCAGCAGGAGACUGGAUCAAUAGGUUUCAGUUUAUUCAUAUAAUAUUCUUGAGCGAACUACUUAUAAACACAAAACAGAAACAUCUCAAGAUUAUGUUCAGUUCAAUAAACCAGAGACAAAGAAGUACAUACAGUAG